GGGCCUGGACAUGCUCAGGCCUCUGGAGCUGCUUCUGUGCCCAGCCCAAGCUGAUCCAACAUGGCAGAACCGAAACUCCUCACAGCAAUGACAUGCACGCUUAGCCCGGAUUUAAGUGUCAUUUUACAUGAGUGGAGUCCAGAGUGGCCCAAAUUCAGACAGAGCAACUGUGGAGCAAGAGGCGUGACACCAGCACACACACCCUCCUCCCCAACUGGCCAGCCCUGAGCACAGAUCUACUUGCUGGCACUUGCUGGACCUGAGGUGCCAGGUUUUCCAGAAAUGCCUAUAAGGGAGAGGAUCUGGGAAGCAGUGGGAAGAUCUUGUAACUUCCUCCUGACGGCAGGAACCCAGGAUUGGACGGAACUCCUUGUACCACGUGGCUAUUUCAGCUGGUGUGGGAAACACCUGUGCUUCCUAAUGACUCAUUCAGCAUCCAAACUAUGGAGCCCGAAGGUGACCAUGCAAGUGUGUCUGGGGGUGAGGCAGGCACCGGCCACAGCUAGGCAGCCUUUAAAGAUCAUCUUUGCGUAAGAUGACAGACAACAAAGCCUUUCUCCCAUCCCAUGUCUGUCACCUGUACUGGAAGCAAAGCUCUUCUGUUUCCUAUGACACCCCAUGCCUGUACACUUCAGUUCUGGUUACCUGCUAUAUGAGGUGUAAAGGGAAUUCCUCUGGAUGAAAAAAGGAUCUAAAAACCUGCAACUGAGGGUCUUGUAUUUAAGGGGGAAACAUCCUAUUUGGAGGUUUUCUUUCUCUGCCUAUUGUUAUCCAUGUGUUUCCUAAAGUCAGGACAGGUACUAUGAGGCCAGGGUAAGAAAACCUGUGCCACGUCCACUGACUUGCAGCAGUAAGUACAAGAAUCUUGGAAACAAAGCACUUACUGAUUUUGAGAACAGAAGAAAAGGUUUCUACAUUAAAGCAUGUUACAAACAAAGAUGCUAAACUAGGCAGCAGCCGCAGGCUAGGCUAACAAAGACAGAUGAUGCUGGACUAGGUUCUAAUUCACGGGUUGUGUUUGUUUUUUUGGCAACAGCAGUCAUUUUGGUAUAAAGAGGGAAAUGCCACAAGAUAAAGGGGGCAUAGAGCAGAAGCACAGUGGCAUCUGGUGCCAAGCACAUCCCAGCUCCUCCAGUCCUGCCUCCUGAGGAUGUGGACCUGGGCGUGGACCACACCCCACAUAUGCUUGCUCCUGCUCAGACUGCAGCCCAGGGGCCAUGCCAGGACUUGGCCCAAUGACUGCCGCCCACAAGACACACCCUGAAGCCUGGAAACUCCUGAGUUUUUCUAAAGGAAGUUCCAGUUAACCAAUCAAAGCUUUAGUUUAGAAUUUAAAGAAGGAAAUCCCUACUAAAGGAGAAAAAGAAAUCAAUUUCAUGCCAACUAUAACGUAUACCCACAAUCCUGCUCCUCUUCUAUGGAGGGAAAAGUGCUGGUGCUCUGGGACGUGCCCACACUCAGAGCCAUGCUCUCUGAAAGCUCAGGUCUCCAGAGGCAGGUGCUCAUUGGGCCCCAGCGGCCCUGGGCACUGGCCUUACUGCUGCCUACAGGGCACCUCUAACUGGGGUUCAUAUCUUGAACCCCUUGUGCUGUGACAGCCAUGUCAACUUCUGAAUCAAGAAGGUCCUCAGGACUUUGAUUCUGUCACCACAACUCCAACUCUCAUCUUCUCUCCCUGCUUCACAGAAUGUUCCUCUUUGUGGAACCCUUAAUCCUCCACAGCUCCUAAAAAUCUGAAGCCCACUACACUUUCAAAGCAGGCAGUCAGACGGCAAACUGAACCAGACCGAGUGCACGACCUUGGCUCAGGAACAGCCUGACCUCCGCUGGCUUCGUUCUUCUUCAGAUGCCCACAAAGAGAGCUGAACAUCUUAGCUGUUUGCUGAGUGCCCAGGUGGUGCUCACCUGCUCAAAGGCACACACCCGUGUCUCUGCCAGCUCCCCCGCUGCAAGGGCCAUCAGCACUUCUCCACAAAGACAGAUUAUAAAGGGGUUCAAGGGGUACCAAGUCAUUCGUGGCUUAACCAUGGCUGUAAAAGGUUGGCCCGACCUGCAGGGCACUUAAAAACUUGCCUGGAUCAUCCGGGCAUAUGUAGCAGCAGAAGCUGAGUUCACCUAGGCACCCAUCACUGCACCCAGGGGCACCACCCAGCCUCUGGGCCACCUUCCUGCCCCAGAGCAGCACCAUGGAGCUUGCGUUAGCUCUGAAGCAUGGAAAGCUGAGUGGAUAAUUCUUCUCUUCUCCCAUUUUGGUAAUUCCAUUACCAAUUCCCUCUCCAUAGUUUCUGGCCUUAGCUGAUAAUCUUUAGUUUUCACAUGGUCAUAUCUAUGAGUUUGUAAAUGGCUGUUUGAGACCUAUUUGCUCUGAAUGGGAGGAAACUUGUGACAAGUGAAAACAAGGCCCUGAUGACUUCCUUUCCUACCGGCUACAGUGACCCUGGGCUGUGACCAGUCAGGGGCUGUGCAGGGGAUUAGGACCACCCACGUCUGUGGAACUGUGGACACACCUCACAGGCUGGUUUGGCAGGGAGUAGGAAGAGGCGAUUUUAAGGAAAAAAACCCACAAUUCUUUACAAGUCUGGUGCCCACGAGCCCUUCCUUAUCCUGCCCUUCGAGACCAGAAUAAAUGUGUUUUUAAAGGUAGGGGUGGUGGCACUCACCUCCUGACACAGGAAGAGGUUAGUGAAAGCGGGAUGAAUUAGGGCCUGAUCCCCAUUAGGAGUUCAAAUGCCCCAAAAUGACCAGGACAGGUUAUGUCCUUCAGCAGCUACAGGUGAGAUGGGAGAGGAGUGGCAGCUCACCUAGACACCCGAGCAGGGAAUGCUCUGCCCAAGGAGCCCACAAAAAGGGUCAUCACUUUGGUAAGUGUUAAAAGCAGCCUGUUCUGAACUCCUGUUCCCUAGACAGGGCCUGGGCCAACCCCCCACAGUGUCUCAUAGAUGUGGACAGGUCCCAGGGCUCCAGCAGUAGAACUCUGAGAUUCUGAACAGACGGUACCAAAGCUUGGGUGACGCCGCUUAUCAGACGGCACCCCUACUGGCUCACAGUCGGCCAGUGAAACUCCCCUCUGAUUUGUACCAGCACCUCCGAUAGGCCAUAGAGAAAGGGGACUCCAAAUGCAAGCAGCUGGCACAUGAAAAAGGAGUCCAGAGGGUUUUGGGCCACCUGAUGCCCAAUCGAAGAAAUGUUGCUUUGGAGGUGCUGGCUCAUCCCCUUGGCCUUGUCACAGAGGCCGAGAGAGUGACGCGCCACCCAGCCAAACAAGGAAGUGAGGCUACCUGGAG